AUUGAACGCUGGCGGCAUGCUUUACACAUGCAAGUCGAACGGCAGCGCGGGCUUCGGCCUGGCGGCGAGUGGCGAACGGGUGAGUAAUGCAUCGGAACGUGCCCAGUAGUGGGGGAUAGCCCGGCGAAAGCCGGAUUAAUACCGCAUACGACCUGAGGGUGAAAGCGGGGGACCGAAAGGCCUCGCGCUAUUGGAGCGGCCGAUGUCGGAUUAGCUAGUUGGUGGGGCAAAGGCUUACCAAGGCGACGAUCCGUAGCUGGUCUGAGAGGACGACCAGCCACACUGGGACUGAGACACGGCCCAGACUCCUACGGGAGGCAGCAGUGGGGAAUUUUGGACAAUGGGGGCAACCCUGAUCCAGCCAUGCCGCGUGCGGGAAGAAGGCCUUCGGGUUGUAAACCGCUUUUGUUCGGGAAGAAAUCCUCUGGGCUAAUACCCCGGGGGGAUGACGGUACUGGAAGAAUAAGCACCGGCUAACUACGUG
rnacentral:rRNA from 1 species